rnacentral:rRNA from 1 species
AGUCGCGGGACGCAGACCCGAAGCCCGGCGAUCUAUCCAUGGCCAGGAUGAAGCGCGGGUAAAACCACGUGGAGGUCCGAACCCACUAACGUUGAAAAGUUAGGGGAUGAGCUGUGGAUUGGAGUGAAAGGCUAAUCAAGCCGGGGGAUAGCUGGUUCUCCCCGAAAAAUAUUGAGGUAUUGCCUCGGAUGAAUUGCACCGGAGGUAGAGCACUGGAUGGGCUAGGGGUCUUACCGGACUACCAAACCCAACCAAACUCCGAAUGCCGGUGACAACUAUCCGGGAGACAGGCUGCGGGAGAUAAGUUUCGUAGCCGAGAGGGGAAAGAGCCCAGAUCGUCAGCUAAGGUCCCAAAAGUUCGUGCUCAGUGUUAAAAGGAUGUGAUCGCGCAUUGACAGCCAGGAGGUUGGCUUAGAAGCAGCCACCCUUUAAAGAGUGCGUAAUAGCUCACUGGUCAACGCGAGAUCGCGCCGAAAAAUAU